CUUACCGGAGGCUGUAUGGACCCUGAUCCCACCCCUCUCCCGCGAUGGAGAAUCUCUUUCCGGUAAGCCAGCCCUCGCUGUCUCACCGGUGAUGUGAGGCAGCAACGUCAU
rnacentral:ncRNA from 16 species